GGCUUAGACGACGCUGGCGGCGUGCCUAAUACAUGCAAGUCGAACGAACUCUGGUAUUGAUUGGUGCUUGCAUCAUGAUUUACAUUUGAGUGAGUGGCGAACUGGUGAGUAACACGUGGGAAACCUGCCCAGAAGCGGGGGAUAACACCUGGAAACAGAUGCUAAUACCGCAUAACAACUUGGACCGCAUGGUCCGAGUUUGAAAGAUGGCUUCGGCUAUCACUUUUGGAUGGUCCCGCGGCGUAUUAGCUAGAUGGUGGGGUAACGGCUCACCAUGGCAAUGAUACGUAGCCGACCUGAGAGGGUAAUCGGCCACAUUGGGACUGAGACACGGCCCAAACUCCUACGGGAGGCAGCAGUAGGGAAUCUUCCACAAUGGACGAAAGUCUGAUGGAGCAACGCCGCGUGAGUGAAGAAGGGUUUCGGCUCGUAAAACUCUGUUGUUAAAGAAGAACAUAUCUGAGAGUAACUGUUCAGGUAUUGACGGUAUUUAACCAGAAAGCCACGGCUAACUACGUGCCAGCAGCCGCGGUAAUACGUAGGUGGCAAGCGUUGUCCGGAUUUAUUGGGCGUAAAGCGAGCGCAGGCGGUUUUUUAAGUCUGAUGUGAAAGCCUUCGGCUCAACCGAAGAAGUGCAUCGGAAACUGGGAAACUUGAGUGCAGAAGAGGACAGUGGAACUCCAUGUGUAGCGGUGAAAUGCGUAGAUAUAUGGAAGAACACCAGUGGCGAAGGCGGCUGUCUGGUCUGUAACUGACGCUGAGGCUCGAAAGUAUGGGUAGCAAACAGGAUUAGAUACCCUGGUAGUCCAUACCGUAAACGAUGAAUGCUAAGUGUUGGAGGAGUUUCCGCCCUUCAGUGCUGCAGCUAACGCAUUAAGCAUUCCGCCUGGGGAGUACGGCCGCAAGGCUGAAACUCAAAGGAAUUGACGGGGGCCCGCACAAGCGGUGGAGCAUGUGGUUUAAUUCGAAGCUACGCGAAGAACCUUACCAGGUCUUGACAUACUAUGCAAAUCUAAGAGAUUAGACGUUCCCUUCGGGGACAUGGAUACAGGUGGUGCAUGGUUGUCGUCAGCUCGUGUCGUGAGAUGUUGGGUUAAGUCCCGCAACGAGCGCAACCCUUAUUAUCAGUUGCCAGCAUUAAGUUGGGCACUCUGGUGAGACUGCCGGUGACAAACCGGAGGAAGGUGGGGAUGACGUCAAAUCAUCAUGCCCCUUAUGACCUGGGCUACACACGUGCUACAAUGGAUGGUACAACGAGUUGCGAACUCGCGAGAGUAAGCUAAUCUCUUAAAGCCAUUCUCAGUUCGGAUUGUAGGCUGCAACUCGCCUACAUGAAGUCGGAAUCGCUAGUAAUCGCGGAUCAGCAUGCCGCGGUGAAUACGUUCCCGGGCCUUGUACACACCGCCCGUCACACCAUGAGAGUUUGUAACACCCAAAGUCGGUGGGGUAACCUUUUAGGAACCAGCCGCCUAAGGUGGGACAGAUGAUUAGGUGAAGUCGAA
rnacentral:rRNA from 2 species